GGAGGAGUGGGUGAGCGGCUGAAACCACCUCAUUGCUAAUGAGGCGUAUGCGCAAAACGUGUACCGAGGGUUCGAAUCCCUCCUCCUCCG
rnacentral:tRNA from 1 species